rnacentral:rRNA from 1 species
GACGAACGCUGGCGGCGUGCUUAACACGUGCAAGUCGAACGGAAAGGCCCUGCUUUUGUGGGGUGCUCGAGUGGCGAACGGGUGAGUAACACGUGAGUAACCUGCCCUUGACUUUGGGAUAACUUCAGGAAACUGGGGCUAAUACCGGAUAGGAGCUCCUGCUGCAUGGUGGGGGUUGGAAAGUUUCGGCGGUUGGGGAUGGACUCGCGGCUUAUCAGCUUGUUGGUGGGGUAGAGGCUUACCAAGGCUUUGACGGGUAGCCGGCCUGAGAGGGUGACCGGCCACAUUGGGACUGAGAUACGGCCCAGACUCCUACGGGAGGCAGCAGUGGGGAAUAUUGCACAAUGGGCGGAAGCCUGAUGCAGCAACGCCGCGUGCGGGAUGACGGCCUUCGGGUUGUAAACCGCUUUCGCCUGUGACGAAGCGUGAGUGACGGUAAUGGGUAAAGAAGCACCGGCUAACUACGUG